CUACGGGCGGCUCCAGUGAGGAAUAUUGCACAAUGGGGGGAACCCUGAUGCAGCAACGCCGCGUGGAGGAUGACGCAUUUCGGUGUAUAAACUCCUUUUAUAUGUCAAGAAAAUGACGGUAGCAUAUGAAUAAGCACCGGCUAACUCCGUGCCAGCAGCCGCGGUAAUACGGAGGGUGCAAGCGUUACUCGGAAUCACUGGGCGUAAAGGACGCGUAGGCGGGUUGGAAAGUCAGGUGUGAAAUCCUACAGCUUAACUGUAGAACUGCACUUGAAACUUCUAAUCUAGAGUAUGGGAGGGGGAGAUGGAAUUAGUGGUGUAGGGGUAAAAUCCGUAGAUAUCACUAGGAAUACCUAAAGCGAAGGCGAUCUCCUGGAACAUUACUGACGCUAAGGCGUGAAAGCGUGGGGAGCAAACAGGAUUAGAUACCCCUGUAGUC
rnacentral:rRNA from 1 species